rnacentral:misc_RNA from 1 species
UUUGGGAAGUCCUUGUGUUNCNCCCNACUUUUGAAAUUUUGACUAUUCACAAACUUUUCCUACGGCCCGGUUGCAGAAUUUUUGCGGUUNGAAUGCUUCGAAGUCCGGCCUGGCAUAAACUCCAACAGAGGCUUGAAGAGUUUUUCGGCAGUAGAUGGUGCAACGUUCGACUCGUGCAAAGGAACAGGAUGUCCGAAAGGAAACGUUGGCGACGGAAUCCAUAGGAGGAGCCGAGAAUCGAGCAAAAUGUUUAAAGAGUUUUUGCCGUCAUCAAGGCACACGCACGCCCUUGUUCAUCCAUGCUUUGCAUACAGAGUUAUCCGCUCAAGCUUACGGCAUAUCANGGGAAUGNNCUUUUCGUUNNNNAUUCCGNGAAAACGCUCGAGUUCGAAAACACAAAUACUUUUUGGAAAAUCAAACU